UACGGGGGGAGCAAGCGUUGUUCGGAUUUACUGGGCGUAAAGGGCGCGUAGGCGGCCACCGCAAGUCGGUUGUGAAAUCUCUGGGCUUAACCCAGAAAGGUCAACCGAUACUGCGGGGCUAGAGUGCAGAAGGGGCAACUGGAAUUCUCGGUGUAGCGGUGAAAUGCGUAGAUAUCAAGCGGAACACCAGUGGCGAAGGCGAGUCCCUGGACAACUCCUGACACUGAGGCACGAAAGCUAGGGGAGCAAACAGG
rnacentral:rRNA from 1 species